AGAGGGUGGAGCAAAGGAACCAGGGAUAUCAUCUUAGUCCCAAGAGACAUCAAGGGAAAUUUCCCCUGCCUCCUCCUCAUCUGCCUUAUUACUGUGGUGAAUCUAAAGGAAAGCAAUCGUUAUCACACACCUAUGGAGCAGGUGGGAUAUGAACCUGGGCAUCCCAGUCCAAGGGUAGGGACACUACCAUUCCAUCACAAGAUCUUCUCUUUCUGUUGUUCCUGUUGUUCAUGUCCCAUACAGCAGCAAUGAGUAGGAACUCAGAACUUAGAGGAUCCAGCUGAAGAGUGCAGCCCCUCAGAUUCAGACACUAGUCAAUGAAGAGCAACUUGGAACACUGGCAAUGAUUUACUGAGGACCCUGGGAUAUCUGAGACUUUGAUGCAAUGGAGGAAAGAGGGCUACAGCGGAGGAAAGAGAACUACAGCAGAGCAGAUGGGAUUGGGGUUUCGUCUCCUAAUUCAAAGAUACUAAAAAACUGCAAACUGUACCUCCCUUUACCUUCCUGUCAGGACCAGACAACCCUCACUAUCUUCAUAAGCUCAUUACCUGUAUUUUGUAUCUCUGCUUGUUGUUAUUUUGAUCUUGGGUGAAGGGGUAAUAAAGCUCUGCUGUCACUCAAGAAAACCUUGGAAUUGGCUUUCUUUCAUUCUUAAUCUGGUUAACUAAGAUUAUUUGAAGUAUUACGCAAUGCAUUAAGAGUAAAAAUUUUAAAAAGACUUACUUUGCAACAGACCAAGAUGGGAAAGUUAGCGACACUUCCUCAUCUGGUCAAAACAGUGGAAAGCAUUAGAACUUCCUUCACCCAUACACUAGAUACAUGACAUUGGCCGGUGUUGGGCAUAAAAGUUAUGAAUAAUUUAAUCCAUUACCAAACUCUUCACUUGUCAUAAUUACUCCAUGGUGCCAAUAUCCUCGUGUCUUUUCAAUUGAACAGUUAGUCAAAGCCUUAUCAAUACAGGUCUUCUUGUGGUUUCUUCUUGUUCUGGAAGGUGUGAUUUGUUUUCAUGUCGGGUGACUUGUUAAAGCUCCUUCAGCAAUCAGUUCUCUGGAAAACUUCCAGUCGGGUCUUGAUACUUUGCAAUCUUCCCUCACAAAAAACAAAUUUUUCUAUAUUCAAAGGCGGAUGAUAUUCAGGUCCUAGUGGAAUUGAUUGACCACAUCAGUUCUUGGCAUGAAAUUGGUUUGAGUUUCCUACUGUACAUACAGACAGGAGACCCAUAUCUAAGAAUCAAUACAUUUUAAAAAGACAGCAGGUAUAUUGAGAAAUGUAGGUCAUGUGUCUCAAUGUAUGAGUAAACUACUCUUUCCCCCUUUUGAGAUAACUCGCAAAUCCUCUUCCUCAGCAUGUAUCCUAUGUGUACAAAGCAGUGCCUACUAAGAAGGAAUAAAGAGAAAGACUGUAAACAUUGAAAACCUAAAAUAAAACAGAAACGACUGGAUUAGCGCAGCAGGUCUGACAGCAUCUUUCAGAAAAGCAUUUUUAGUUUGAUUUUGUUUUAGUCAGAGCUGUUCUGGGGAAAAGUACCAAUCUGAAACACUUAACCCAUCUUUUCACUUUCGAAUGGUGAUAGAACUCCUAUGCAAUUCCAGUAGUUACUCUUUUACUAUCUAUUAAUGAGAUUUCAGGAGCAGAAAUGUGCAUGACUGAGAUUUGCUUGGCUCAGUCUGGCAACCACAACAAGCCCAGCAAGAGAAAAUGUUAUUAAAACUUUACAGUCCUAAUAAGACAGCUUAAUCAUGUGAGUGUGAAGCAAGCUUGCGAUUUAAAAAAAAUCAUUAACACGGUUAACAUUAUUCAUAACGAUUGAUCGGAGUGCUUGUGGCUUUGAUUAUAAAAUAGCA